rnacentral:rRNA from 1 species
AAGUAAGCAAGGGCACCCGGGGGAUGCCUAGGCUCUCAGAGGCGAAGAAGGACGCGAUAAGCUGCGAAAAGCUGCGGGGAUGGGCACAUACCAGGUGAUCCGCAGAUAUCCGAAUGGGGCAACCCCUUAUCUUGAAGAGAUAAGAUCUCCUCCUUUAGGGAGGGAGAGGCAAACGCAGGGAACUGAAACAUCUAAGUACCUGCAGGAACAGAAAAUAACAAUGAUUCCCCAAGUAGUGGCGAGCGAACGGGGACGAGCCCAAACCGGGUUGGUUACGGCCAGUCCGGGGUUGUAGGACCUCAAGAUCUGAUUGUGUGAUUUUAGCUGAAUGACGUGGGAAAGUCAACCAGAGACGGUGAGAGUCCGGUAAGCGAGCAGAUCAUGCACGGUAGAGGAUUCCUGAGUAAGGCGGGACCAGCGAAAUCCCGUCUGAAUCCGGCGGUACCAUCCGCCAAGGCUACAUACUCCUGAGAGACCGAUAGUGAACUAGUACCGUGAGGGAAAGGUGAAAAGCACCCCGACGAGGGGAGUGAAACAGUUCCUGAAACCGGAUGCUUACAAACAGUGGGAGCUCAAGGUUCGUCCUGGGUGACCGCGUACCUUUUGUAUAAUGGGUCAGCGACUUAAAGUUACGAGCAAGCUUAAGCCGGUAGGUGUAGGCGCAGCGAAAGCGAGUCUGAAUAGGGCGACUUAGUUUGAUGGAUUAGACCCGAAACCCGGCGAUCUAGGCAUGACCAGGAUGAAGGUGGGGUAACACCCACUGGAGGUCCGAACCGAUUAACGUUGAAAAGUUACCGGAUGAGUUGUGUUUAGGGGUGAAAGGCCAAUCAAGCCGGGAAAUAGCUGGUUCUCCGCGAAAACUAUUGAGGUAGUGCCUCGGAUGAAUACCGAUGGGGGUAGAGCACUGGAUGGGCUAGGG